UGCCAGCCGCCGCGGUAAUACGUGGGGUGCAAACGUUGCUCGGGAUCAUUGGGCGUAAAGCGCACGUAGGCGGUCUUUUAAGUCGGAUGUGAAAGCCCUGGGCUCAACCCAGGAAGUGCAUCCGAAACUGCCAAGCUAGAAGGCAGUAGAGGAGAGCGGAAUUCCGGGAGUAGUGGUGAAAUGCGUAGAUACCCGGAGGAACACCCGUGGCGAAGGCGGCUCUCUGGGCUGUCCUUGACGCUGAGACACGAAAGCGUGGGGAGCAAACCGGAUUAGAUA
rnacentral:rRNA from 1 species